rnacentral:rRNA from 1 species
AUACGGAGGACGCGAGCGUUAUCCGGAUUCAUUGGGUUUAAAGGGUGCGCAGGCGGCCGUGCAAGUCAGCGGUGAAAGCCCGGGGCUCAACCCCGGAAGUGCCGUUGAUACUGCGUGGCUGGAAUGCGGUCGAGGCGGGGGGAACGCGGGGUGGGGCGGUGGAAUGCGUAGAGAUGCACCAGAACGCCGAUAGCGGAGGCAGCUGUCCAGGCCUGCAUUGACGCUCGGGCACGAAAGCGUGGGGAUGGAAAAGGAUUAGAUACCCUGGUAGUCCACGCCGUAAACGAUGGGCGCUCGUCGGCGGCGACAGACAGUCGGCGGCCAAGCGAAAGCGAUAAGCGCCCCACCUGGGGAGUACGGUCGCAAGGCUGAAACUCAAAUGAAUUGACGGGG